AUGAGGACAGAAUCCUCAAGACAUAAUCAUCUCCUAAAGCCCCACCUCUUGUGGGUUGAAACUCCAAUGCAACAGGAUUAAGAGGUGGGGCUUUAGGAGAUAAUUAAGUUUCAACAGGAAUUUUGGAGAAACUCACACAUUCAAACCAUAGCAGCUGAGUAACUGCAACUACAUCUGGACCUGUCCCUGGCUGCAGCUCUUGCUCCCUAUAAUCCAUUCUCCACUUGGCAGCAAGAGUGAUCUUUUUAUUGGCCUCCAGUCCCACUGGAUGAUUUCUGGCCCCUGGAUACUUCAAGCUCAUUCUCAUCACAGGGCUUCCUCACCUGGAAUCAUUUCCCUGGAUUUCACGUGGCUGUCUCAUCUCUUUCUCAUCACUCAGGUUUCUCCUCCUCAGAGAAGCUUUCCCUGACCACUCUAGCUAAAGUAGCAACACACAGGUCAUUGCCUCUCAUUCUGGUGGGCCAGCAGCAGUAGUGUCACCUGGGAGUCCGUCAGACAAGCAGAACCUCAGGCUCCACCGCAGCCCCACUCAGUCAGAACUGGCACUUUGCCUGCAUCCCAGGUGAUGCUUCUGCACCUCACUGUUGGAGAAGCUCUGCUCCAGGCACUUCUUUAAGUAAAAAGAUUUGCUUCCUGCAGAUAAGAGUGUGUGGGUUCACAUGCCUCUGGGGUUCUGCCUGAAUCCUGAUGCAGAAAAGAGACCUAAUCCCAAAAGCUAUUCCAAUGGGCUCCCUGCCUGAAGACCUGGCCACUAGCAGGAGCGGGCCCAGAAAGACUUCAUUCAAGGCCACCAUGACAAGAGCAUGACAGAGACUGUUUCCUGGUUUGAGAGGGUCUCUAGUUUGUUUCCUGGUUUGAGAGGGUAACCUUUAUAACAUUUUGAUAUUUAUUUUUAAAUGUUUGUAGUAGACUGUGGGCCACUCUCUGAGUUUCUACCAUUUCCUUAGGCAAGGUUCUUAAGCUCCUCGUAGCUCAGUUUUCUCAUCUGACAAUAGGGAUAAUAGCCCCUAUCUCAUAAGGCUGUCAGGAUUCAAUGGGGGUAAUCCUUGUAGUCUCAGAAUAAUGCCUGGCACAUAGUAAGUGCUACAGAUAUGAGCUAUUACUAUGAUUAUAUUUACUUCAGAAAAGGCAAAAGUGGUACUGUGACCUCUUUUUUAGUUUUAUUAUACCCUAGGAGUCAACAUCCAACCAGAGAACAUAUUCCCCGUGAUCCAUCUGGAUGCCUGAACUGUUUGCCAGAAUUUAAACUAUUCAUGCAAAUAUUUUCAAACCAUACAAGCUCCUCUGGCUUUAGGGCCAGUUUCUGGCUCUGUUAUUAAAUAUAAUCUGGCUGGCAAAUAGAUUUACAUGUGAAAGUUGAGUUACUGGAAUCUAAUAGUCAACCCCUAGCCUGAGGAAAGAGCUGAAGACAGAGACAUACUUCUUCUAAAGGGGAGAACACUAAAGAAACCCAGUCAGAUUGGGGGAAAACAAUACAGAGCAUUUUAUACUUCUUUCACAGAGAUGUUUUGUAUCUCCCUAGACAGGGAGAGAGAAGAAAGGAAAAUUCUUAGAGCAGGGAGUCAAAGGAAAACUACACACAUUUUCACUAUAUACACGUACCAGAAAGGCAAAUCAUUACCCUGUUUUGGUUAACUCCAAAGCUGUCAGUUAGCUCUUCACCUGAGGGAGAAGGAAACUUGAACAUUACAAAACACAAAAUCAAUCAAAGAGAAGCCAGCAUGGCCUAGCUGGAGCUUAAAGAGUCAACUGAGGACAGCCAGUAUGCCCUGGUCCCUGGUCACUACCAGACAGGGAAAGAACUGUGCAUAUUCAAACCCAGGGGUACAUGGAAGAGGGAAGUGUGUUUGGUAGGAUUUUGUUUUGUUCUGUUUCCCUUGAGCUCGGAAACCUUAAUGGAACAGAGUAAGGCAAAUCUGUGAUCCAGUGUGUCUGAGCCAGAGGCUUCAGGAACUGUAGAGGAUGAACCAAAAGCCAGGGUGAGGAAUCAUCCCGCUCACUCUCAGUGCAAAUGGGUCUGCAUCUGGGGACUCCUCACGUGACAACAGGCUCUGCUCUUCUAGAAAUAGUUUGGAUCCCUGUCAAGUAUAGUCUAUAAUUUUAGACUUCCAAGGAAAUAAUUAGGUGAAUUCUCAAGGUCGUAAUCAUCUUCUGUGGAAUUUGUGAGAUUUGCCAUUUUCCCAUUGCUUUCCUUAGAAACCUGCCUUGCUGUCCAACUUGGCAAAAGCCUAUAUUCUGAAUAGAAAAGGAAGUGACCCCCUGCCACUUGAGGCCACAAACUUGAUUCCACCAAAGAGCUGCUGUCAUUACCUUUUGCUUUUUGCUGACCUUGAUGACAGGUGAUAGAAGGAAGGGAAAUCUAGCUUGAGAGAAGGUGUGACACAGGCCAAUGUGCUCUGCCAGGAAUGUUCUCCCUUCAAUUUGCAUGCCUAAUUUCUGCUCACCCAUUAGAUCUGAGUGUACCUAUCACCUGCACAGAGUAGCCUUCCUAGUCACCCGCUCUACUGGACAAACCCCCACAGUGAUUAAUUUUAUGUGUCCAGUUGGCUGGGCCACAGUGUGCCAAGAUAUUUGGUCACUUUAUUCUGGAUGUCUUUGAAAGACUGUUGUUGGGUGAGAUUUAUAUUUAAAUCACUUGUCUUUAAGUAAAGUAGCUUGCCUUCCCUAGUGUGGCUUGGCCUCAUCCAAUCAGUUGAAGGCCUGAACAAAACAAAAGGCCAACCUCCCCUGAGCAAAGAGGAGUUCCCCAGCAGACGGCCUUCAACUUCAUACAAAAUGUGGGCUCUUCCUGGUUCUACUGCAGACUGUCUUUGGACUGUAAACCAAAAAUAAAUUUUUAAGGUCUCCCAACCAUCUGAAAGGACUUCCUCCUCAACCAGGGCUCUUUUAAAAUUUAGCAUGACAGACUGUUUCAGGCCAUGAUGGGAAGUGGGGGUCAGACAUGCCUCCUCAUACCUCUCUGGCAUUAACAUCAACACAAGACUGUAAGUCUGAUAUGAAACAUUUUACAACCUGUUCUCUCUGAAGCCUACUACCUGAAGGCUUCCUCUACAAAUAAGAACUUGGGUCUCCACUGUCCUUUAUCUUAACCCAGACAUUCCUGUCUAUUGAUUCCAGGUCUUUAGGUAAACUCAACCAAUUGUCAACCAGAAACAUUUUAAAUUUACCUAUAAGCUGGAAGCCCACCCCCACCUCCCACCAGCCCCCACUGCUUCGAGAUGUCCCACCUUUCUGGAACAUAGCAAUGUAUUUCUUCAAUGUAUUUGAUUGACGUUUCAUGCCUCCCUAAAAUGUAUAUAACCAAGCUGCACCCUGAGCACCUUGGGCACAUGUUCUCAGGACCUCCUGAGGGCUGUGUCACAGGCCCAUAGUUACGCAUAUUUGGCUCAG
rnacentral:lncRNA from 1 species